rnacentral:tRNA from 1 species
GCGCCGGUGGUGUAAGGCGAACAUCGCUGCCCGGAAAGCAGAAAAUGCGAGUUCGAGUCCUGUCUGGCGCA